CACUGUCCCCCGACAGUCCCACUGCAUGAUGGGAAAUGCAGUCACUGCUCCACCUCCACUGUGUCUCUGCUGAUGAUGUCAGUCUCUGUCUACCUCCACAACACUGUAACUCCAACCUGCCAACAACAGAAACUGAUGUCCUGUGAAAACCUCCUAACUCCUCACAGGCCUGCUCACACAGGCCCGCUGGAGUUAGGAGGUUUUCACGCUGCAGAAGCGACGUACCUGCCGUCUCUAAAAGUUAACCUGUCACUGAUAGUUAAGGUUGUUCUGUAGAAAACACACAUGUGCAUGAUCAGUACAACGGGCCUGAGCUGGGAGCCUCACUGAGAACAAGGAACGAUCCUGUUAAUGUCCUUUUUAAAGUGUUAGAACAUUAACUUUAAAUCUUCUGUAAAAUAUUGAUGAAAAUCAGCCUGCAGAGACUCCAAACUUCACACAGUUUGUCUUUAUUAACACUUUUUUAGCUAAAUGUGAUCCAGGUGACUUUGAAUGAGAGUUUAGUUACAGACUUAAAUUUGAAAAGUGUAAGAAAAACUCCAAAUAACUCAGAAACUACUGCUGUUUUUAUUGGACCAACUGAAGAUCAACAUGGCUAACAUAGCAGCUGAAGCUAACAGGCUAGUCGAUUGUUUCUCUGACCCACAUGGACAAUACAAUAUCUGACUGUGACUCAGGCCAACUGGCGCUAAUGCUCACACAGGAGCUAAAGCUAACAAGCUAGCCCAUCUCUGAAUGACACUGAUAGCUUGAUCACUGAGACCAACACUGCUAAUGCUAAUACUGUUGGACCAGCUAACUGUAAUCAUCCUUUUCCCGUCUCUAAGCUACAGUGAUAGCAUUUCUAUGCCUUAUAAAGACCAUCACAACUAAUGCUAAUAGUUGGCUGAUACUACCUCAUAUGGCUAACUGUAGUCGUCCUUUUUUGGUACCUAAAGUGCAGUGAUAACAUGUUUCCUGAAUUUAUCAAACUAAUGCUAAUACCACUGCUAUGCUAAUGCUACUAUACCAGGUAAAGUUUCCCUAAGUUGUCUGUUCCCCGUUAAUAAACUACAGUGAUAAGAGGAUUUCUAAAUAUUUAUAAAUCCGUUUCCCAAGUGUUAAAUGCUAAUACUAAAGCCAUAUAUGACCCUAAACGAUGGACUUUAGCCUAAUAAGAUUAUAAAUAUUAAGUGCCAAGUCGGAGAUGAUAUCGUUUUAUCUUGAACGUAAACAAAAUACACAAAUCAGAAACUUGUAAUAAUGAUUUCAUGACACGAUAUGAACGCAGCAUCGCCCUGAUGGUUUCCAAACACCGGGCGGCGGGACGGUAGCUGGCCACCACACAUUUGUUACCAGGCCAAGGAAACUAUAUGACUCGGUGAAAAAAAGUAAGAAUUAUUUAAACAUUGUUAGCUAUGUGUACUUUGAACCAAAACAGCUAGUGCUAAUUUACCAUAUAGGUCUAACCAUGGGUUUCUAUUCCCAUCCCUGAACUACUGUACUAACAGGGUUUCUAAAUAUUUGUAAGACCUACACAGCUAAUGUUAAAUCUAACGCUAAUGUACGAGACAAGGCUAAUUGUUAAUUGUAAUUUCAAAUCAACAGUGAUAGCAGCCUUUUUGAACGUUGAUGAUUCAAAUUUUCCAGAUAAGGCUAAAGUGGGUUGGAAAGUAGUGAUAGUUUCCUGUCUCUAAACUACACUGAUAACAAGGUUUUAGAAAAUGACAAACAUGGCUAAUGCUAAUGCUAAUCAUGUGUACCAAGUCUAACAGGCUAGUAACUGUAUAAAGUACAUAAUAACAGCAUUUCUAAACACAAUGAUGUUACACACGCACGCAACACUACAAACCAUUGGUUAUGCUAAUGCUAAAGUACCAGAUAAGGCUAUUUAAUCACAUCAGUGCUAUUUUGAAUGCCAGUGUACCUCAAAAGGCUAUUUUAUUAUCCGUGAUUACGAUUAUCCCCAGAGUUUUACGGUGACAAUCAAUCAAAUCCAAACCCCAGACAUGUUUAAUUUAGUAUCAAUAAAGACAAAAAAAACAGAAAUGUUCACAUUUGAGAAACUAGAAAAAUGGUCUUUGUGGCUUAAAUGAUCAAUAAAAACGUACAGUUCUGCAGUAGGCAGCGGUGGAUGAAGUAUUCAGAUCCUUUACUAAAGUAAAAGUACUAAUACCUCACUGUAAAAAUACUCUGUUACAAGUAAAAGUACUGCAUUGAAAAUCUUACUUAAGUUAAAGUACAUCAGGGAAAUGUAGGCUACUUAAAGUAUUAAAAGAAAAAUAUUCCCUGUGACUGUUAUAAUUAGAUCAUUACAUUAUUAUUCCUCAUGCAUAUAAAGCAGGAUUAUGUUGAGGUUGAACUGUUUUAUAUCAGACUGCAACUAAUGACUUUUAUCAUUUUGAAUAUAACUGCUUAAUAUCUCCAUUAAUUGACUGUAAAAAUGGUGAAAAUGGUGAGAAGUGUUGUCCGUUACCCGGAGCACAACGUGACAGUCCAAACCUCAAAGUGAUUAAAAAUACAUUCAAAUAAUUAAAAAGAAAAAGCAGCAAAUCCUCAAAUGUUUUUACAUGAAAAAGACUUCAAUGAUUAUCAAAAUAGUUUCCAUCAAAAUUUUUGUCAAUCAACGAAUGUAGCAGCUGUACUUGUAUAAACUUUUGAAGUUUAAUUUAUAACAAAACAUAUUUUAUAAAGUCUUCAUGUGUAUUGUGUGAGUAGAAAGUAAGAAAAUACUCAAAGUACAAAUACCUCAAAUUUGUACUUAUAUGGUGUAAAGGUACUUAGUUACUGUCCACCACUGGCAGUAGGAAGUUAACCACAUGCCUAAAUGCUUUUAUUUUGAAGGUUUUUUUCUUUAGUUUAAUGUGAAAACGAGCGAGCAGACCUGAUGCAAACGUCUCUGCUGCUCUCAGAUCAGAUCCUCCAGAGAUCAGCUGGACUCUGGGGGACAAAGAGUUUUUCUGUUCCUUCAGUUUAUUGGAUCGUUUUCAUCAUCGUGUUCAUCGUCACUUUCUCUGCAGGCUGAUUCUCCAGAGACUCACAUUUUACUUCCACUUUAAAAAGCUCCGGUUUGUCUCUUUGGAGGAAACGAGCAGAGUUUAAACUGAAGUGACCCGACGUGAACGCCGCAGGUCUGCUCAGGUGGAAGAUCAAUGUUUACUGAAGAAGAAAUAUUGAUUUUAGCUGGAGAGCAGCUGACUGCGGCCACAAGGGUUCAAAGAUCUGCAGCCAGAAUUAUUUCACUGUCGUACAGAAUAAUCUGUACAUGUUGAAGACGCGUGUCGUCGUUCUCAGUGACGUUCGGCUCGGUUCACUUCACAUUUUAAUACUGUUUUACAGGUGAGCUGCACCUGCCGGGGUAAACUUUAUUUAUUUGGUCUUCUUGCUGAUACGAGUUUAAGAGGGAACAAGAGAUCCUCUGAUGCUGAUGAGCUGCAUAUUCAUGAAACAACACGCCGUUAUUUAAGAGCUACAUGUGAUGCGUUCACUUCCACCCAGGAACAUGAAUACAGAGCUUCACACUGUUUCCCAGUUUAAAACAUUUCUUUUACAAUAUUUAGUCUUGUGAUUUAUUUAUUUUAAUAACACCUGACCAACAUGUAUUAUUACAUAUUAUUCAUCCUCAGCGCGCCACGCCGGCGCUGCUUUGGUAAAAUGUGUAGAAAGACUGGAAACUGGGCUGAAAUCUGAGUUUUAAGGUUCAAGGUUUUUUUUUUUUUGGUCGCUACACACCGCAGGAUUUCACAACGACAUGCAGCUCCUCGUCACUGCACACACAACAUGAGGAAACCGUACAUGGCGUAAUCAGAACAAAGUCUACAGUCGUAGCACUGAGGGAGGAAAUGAAAACUAUAUUUAUAAGAAAUAAAUAUGUGCAACAUCAGAGCAGUAUGCUGAGAAACGCGAGGUGAGAACGCGAGUAGAGCAGAAGUUCUGUAUAUGUAACGUGCAGAACGUGGCGUUUAUUUACGGCGUCGAGGAAGUCGUGGGAAUUUAAAAAUGAGAGAAAACCGAUCCGUUUAUGUAAUGUUGAUUUAACCCAGGUCUUUGCCAGGCCGUUACUGUGAAUAAGAAUCUGUUCUUGAACAACUCGCCUGGUGAAAUAAAGGUCAAAUAAAAAGCAGCCGGACGUUUAAACGGCGGCAGCUUUCAGACUCGCUGAACUUUAUUUACUGUCCUUCCUUUUUUAUCUGAGUAAACUUAACCUCUCUGUACAAACACCGACCCCGCACACAAUGCAGCGCGUUGUAGAUAUCGUGUGACUGCAGCCUCGACAGGAAGUCUUUCAGGUCACGUCUGCAGUCGGUCACGUUUUAGCUUUCUUUAGAUGCUAAUGCUAACAAGCUAACCUGUGUGUAAAAACAUGCCUGCACUGAAAGCUAAAUUUACAACUGUGCAAAAGGGACCCUGAAGGCAACACCUGUGUCAUUCCAUCAUCCUGAGGCCCCGUGUUGUAGAGGGACCCAAAGUUAGAACAAACGAUCGCGUCGCUCUGUAGGUGCUGGAUGUGGAAAUCAGCAGCUGUUCAUCAGCUCAUAUUAUUCAGCUCUUUCUAGACAGCAGGUGGAGUUAAGCGUCUGUUGUUGACUCCGGGUCUGAAGGUCGCAGCAGCCCCCCCCCCCGCUGAGGACCCGAUAGAGGACAGGACGCCUCCGUCCACUCGGCCGCCUCCGUCUGCCGCUCAGCACAUCACCGGCCUCCGGCAGUGAGUCUGGAUCUGAUCACCUCUUGUUGAUCGAACGAAUGGAUCUGACUUCUUCUGAUCAGCUGAUCUGAUUGGCCGAGGCUGCUGCUGCUGUCAACGAGACAAGAAGAGGAGAGCUGAACGCCGUUAGAUCAUCAAGCUGUUUGUCACCUUCCAGGACCUCCUCCAGGACCUCCUCCAGGACCCUCCAGCCUCCAGGACACACUCACAGUUCUCCAGGACCAUGUCUUCGUCUCAGAGCAGAUCAGAUCUCAAACCAUCUGGACUCAAACGUUUCUGUUGGUGGCUCCACCGCUGCUCCUCCUCCUCCUCUCCUCCUCCUCCUCCCCUUCUUCCUCUCCCCGUCAGCUGUGGCGCCCCCCCCUCUCCUCCGGCGGCGUCUCGGCGUCGCCUCCUGCUGGUGGUCCUGCUGCUCUGCAGUCUGCUGCUGAUGCUGCUGCUGCUGCUGUGGAACUACCACUGUCUGUUCAUCUCCCACAUCUGCUCCCCACCGGGGGAGGAGGAGGAGGAGGAGGGGGGAGGAAGGAGGGUAAUGACCCCGGGGCCGUGACGGGCAGCACCUCCAGAAUCCGGUCUGAACUGGUUCAGUCCUCACAGAUUUUAGACCUUUUUAAAUCAGCUGCACUGAAAACAACAAGAAGGGAAACUUAAACAAACACAAAUAUAAAUACUCGUUAGUGUUUCUGAUCGAAAAGCAACUCGUCCUCUCACCUUAACCACGAAUACGACCUGUACCACCAGGUCGGCCGCAGGCGUGACUUGAAAUAAGCGGUGACUCGGUUUCACGCGGGACUCGAACCUCGGCCUCCUGCUGAGAGUCCAGUGUUAGUUUGUCCCGUCCAUCAACCCCAAUAAGGUCCGGCUGCGGCCUGUAGCACUUCAAGCCACGCCCCCUCGCAGUAGAGUCUGUCAUGAUUGGCUGCGGGCUGCCUGAUUCGCACCAAGGGGGUACGCCAGAGGUCGAACAGUGACGCCGACCAAAGCCUGCAUGAGACAUCCUGUCGCACAGAUGUUACCGUACUGCUUAGAUAAUAAACUAAAAAAACAACACUGUUAGAAAGCUUUAUUAACAACACGGACACGGACACGGGGAGUCACAGCGUCAGCGUGAAGAGAACUUUAAAAAAAGGGACAUGAAAAAAUAUUAAUAGUGCAAAUUUCUCUCAUUAAUACGACACGAAUGUGACGAAGGUCUGGAAACAAAUCAGCAGAGCCGUCUUCUUUUCAGUGGUGCUCGAAGUAUUCAGAUCCUUUACUGAAGUAAAAGUACACUGUAAAAGUACUCUGUCACAAGUACUCUGUCACAAGUACUGCAUUGAAAGUGUUAAUAAGUAAGUAAGUAUAAUCAGGAAAAUGUACUUAAAGUAUAAAAAAUAAAAGUGUCCCCUGUGGCUGUUUCUCUUUAGAUUAUUGUUACUUGAUUAAUCUGCUGAUUAUUUCCUCCAUUAACUGAUAAUAUAAUUAAAAUGUUGCCACGGUGACCCAGAGCCCAAAGUGACUCCUUCACUGCGUUUGUUCUGUCAGUCCAAACCGCUCAACCAGUAAAAACACCUUCAAAUAAUCUAAAGGAAAAAUCUUAAAAUGCCGUCUUCCUCACGUCCCCCAUCGGCCCAUACUGGACGCUCGCACCACGCCGCCUCACGCCCCCCCGCCCGUCUCCUCCCACCACCUCCUUACACAGACUUAGUCACCCGACUUCUUCUGCCACUCCGGGCGGACAUAAGUAAAUACGUGACGAGCUGCUGCAUCAUCGAGCUGUAGGUGGACGUUCGGAGACAACAGCGUAAAAACUGAACUGGAGCAGCAGAGGCGGAGACAUCCUGACUUUCAGUCCAGAAAUGUGGAUCCUACAUCUCCCACAAUGCAUCUGGAGAGAGUCCGCCUGGCAAACGCCACACCUCCUGACUGUAUGUUUGAUGACAUCACUGUGACAUCUUCUGGUGGAAUGUUCCUUUAAAAGUGUUUUUCAUAAUAAAAGCUCGUGUCUGCUGAA